GUAGGGAAUAUUGCACAAUGGGCGAAAGCCUGAUGCAGCAACGCCGCGUGUGCGAUGAAGGCCUUCGGGUCGUAAAGCACUUUUUGAGGAGAUGAGGAAGGACAGUAUCCUCAGAAUAAGGUCCGGCUAACUACGUGCCAGCAGCCGCGGUAACACGUAGGGACCAAGCGUUAUCCGAAUUUACUGGGCGUAAAGCGUGUGCAGGUGGUUUAGCAAGUUGGAUGUGAAAGCUCCUGGCUCAACUGGGAGAGGCCGUUCAAGACUGCUAGACUUGAGGAUGGUAGAGGAAGGUAGAAUUCCCGGUGUAGUAGUGAAAUGCGUAGAUAUCGGGAGGAAUACCAGUGGCGAAGGCGGCCUUCUGGACCAUUCCUGACACUCAGACACGAAAGCUAGGGUAGCGAAUGGGAUUAGAUACCCUGGUAGUCC
rnacentral:rRNA from 1 species